rnacentral:rRNA from 1 species
GGGGCAGCACGGUCGAUAGCGGUGUCCCUGAUGAGGCCUCGUCUGGAACACGCUGGAUACGAGGAUGCCGCGUCAUCCCGCAGCGUCGCCUACAAGGCGUGACAACAUGUUUACCAGUGCGGGUGCGCGGCCCUGUAGUUUUGACCACCACUCGCAUUCAGCAGAGCUCGAACUCAAAACGGGGACGCCUUGACCAACCGUGGCUAUUGGAAAAGCCAUGUACAAGCUGGGUAGUCAAUUCACUAAUCAACUUUUUUUUUGUAAAAUCAACAUCUACAUGUAGAAAUCUUGCAGACACUCACACGCACGCGCACAUGCACACACGCGCUCACACACACACACAAUAUCAUACUCUCUCCGUCCGGAAAUACUUGUCAUCAAAAUGAAUAAAAGGGAUGUAUCUAGAUGUAUUUUAGUUCUAGAUACAUCAUUUUUUGUCCAUUUUAAUGACAAGUAUUUUCGGACGGAGGGAGUAUAUUUUACCACACAACUUCAAAUUGAUUUCUCAAGAUUGAUGUUCUGGCACCGACACGCCUCAUCGCAGCAUCGCCACCAAAGAAGAGGCAUGGUUUGAAGGAGGAAGAAGAGAUGUUGUCUGUCCGACGGAGAUGGAAAGAUCGAGCAGAAUUUAACUUAAACUCAAAGGAAAAUAAUAAUCAGGUGAUUGUUUAUUGGUCGGCCCCUCAAUCCUUGGAUGUGACACCAUACUGGCAAUCUUUGCUCCUUUUGCUGGCACGAUCAUUGACAUCUUCUUCCUCCGCGUCCUGGUUGUCCACAC